AGAAACAGAAAGAGAGACUACACUAAGCAGUAAACAAACAAGGAAGCCAAACAUAGUAAUCAAGCUAACGACUGUUGGUUUCACUAAUGUUGCAAUUUCACAUUCUGACUUAGUGGUCACUUACAUUUAAAUGUAUUCUGUUAAGUCUUGAUACUAAAUAAUUUCAUAUACAGUGUUUAGCUAUCCUGCUUUUUAGUUAAAGUAACUUAAACAAUUGCGUAUACAGUGCUCAGCU